UAUCAUCAGUGAGCACUGGCCGCAGC
rnacentral:piRNA from 2 species